GUUUUCUCCCCGCCCUAAACUGUCUGGAAUAAGUGGUCUGCCCAAAUUAGAUUGUGACCUCCCCCUCCGGGCGGAGUUUCCCUGCCCCCAGCCAUGAAGAGUGGUGGGUAGUACUAGGAGCAUGAGCAGGGACUGUAAUAAAGCGGAUCUAGUGCAUGUAUCCAGCGCUGGGUGCAAUAGGGCACCCCACUAACCCAGGCAUCCCCCCAAAAAAGCCCUCUCCCCAGGGGAUCACUGGGACCCUCUCUGUCUGGGGAUAAAGAAUCUCACUUCUGGGGGGUUUGGAUGGGAACCCCAUGUCUGCUGCAAACCUACAUCCUUUGUGCUCCUUGCAACCCUCUCUCCAGUGGAGUAAACUCAGACUGAGUGACGGCAAGAUUUCCUUCCUUAAUCUUGUGAGUGGAAUCCGUAAUGAAGACAUGUACAUCAGUCAAAAAUGUUUGCAAGCUCUUUUCGCUAAUUUUUUCCAUGAUCACGUUUCUUUACGUGGUCUACAUCGUGGUUGUAGAGAAGACCUAUUUGCCAGGGGGUUCUUUCAUGUCCCCUCUUCUCAGAUCGAAGGAGUUAAAGACUCUAUGUAGUAGUAACUGGACGGGCGAUACUAUCGUCCAUCUCAAAAAUAGCCGGACCUAUGUAAUCAGUGCCUAUUUGGAUCUCCGGAGCAGAAGCCUCAUCCGGGUUAUUGGAAUUACAUACCGAUACGAGCAAGAACCUUUGUUUUGCGACUUUUGUUUUCAUGGAACCAAUGAGACGGUCCCAGCAGAGAUUGAAAUCCAUAGCGACCACUUUCAGUUCCCCUAUGGAACAAUGGACUUGCUAUGCAAUUUAAAAGACUCCCGAAUUCCCCAGUAUAUCCAUUUACAUGCAGCUAACUAUCCAUCGAACAUUGUUUUUAAAGUCCAUAACAUUGAACAGACGCAUAACCCACCUUCACGGUUUGAAUAUGAUUUUCUUUUGUGCAUUUCUGCUCUGUUUGGUUCUUACAAUAACGUCUUACAGUUCAUCCAGUCGAUGGAAAUGUAUCGGAUGUUAGGGGUACAAAAGGUAAUCCUUUAUCACACGGACUCGAGCGCAAUUCUAAAGCAACUCCUCACUUAUUACAUUAAACAAAACUUCUUGGAAUUAAUUCCAUGGCCAAUCACGACCUAUAUAAAUGUUUCUUCCGGGUGGCAUUACCCAGAACACCCAGGAGAUCUCCAUUAUUACGGACAAACUGCUGCUUUAAAUGACUGUAUCUAUCGCAAUAUGUACAGAAGCAAAUAUAUUGCUCUUAAUGACAUUGACGAACUUAUUUUACCCGCGAGGCAUAAAAAUUGGAAUGAACUGGUCGAUUAUCUUCAACAUUCGAACCCAGACGCCAGUGUUUUUAUAUUUGAAAAUCAUGUUUUUCCGAUAUCGUUUGUAAAUCAAAGCAAGCCUGAUCCGGAGGAAUGGAAGUCCGUGCCAGGCGUCAACAUAAUAAGACACGACCACCGCGAGCCAAACGACCCUUCGGAAGUUAACCCAACAAAGUUGAUACUUAACCCCAGGGAUGUAGUCAGGACCUCCGUGCACACUCCUUUGGAUUUUAGUGGUCAGGAAUAUCGUGUACCCAGGGAAAUUGCACAGCUUUGUCACUACCGGCAGCCGAAGAAAAAAGAAAUUACGGAUGAUAUGCUAAUUGAAGACUAUAUAUUGUCUCCAUUUGAAAAUGCCUUGGUAGAACGAGUUAACCGUGUGAUUGGUCAGCUUGAACUUCUAAAACUUGAGCAGACUGAGACUCUGUUACCUGUGGCUGUGUAAGGACAAAACACGCGUUAAAGAAAAAACCUGAUCCGUGCAACUCAAGAAUUAAAAUGUUAAAUUGUUAUUUGUUGGAUAUAGUCAAAAUGAGUGUGUGAUCACUUAAACGCUGAUUGAUUUCUUUCACAUCCAUUUAAAGGAACCCCUCGUACCAUGACCACUACAGCUCUCGCCCCAUAUUGUAAGGAGGCACUGGGUGUGGCACCCUGCCUCUACUACUACUGUCGGAGAACUGGAAGUUCCUAAACAGAAACAUCCAUUAGCUCAUUGACCGAGACUCUCUCUCAGCCAAUGAGCUAUGCCUUGCACUGGCUUUGCUUUGGAGAACUAACAGAAGAUCCUGUUUAGGAACAGCAGGCUCUCCAGCGUUGGUAAUGGAGGUCGGGAGCAGUGCCCAGCGGGCGCCAGAAAAUUUUGCGACAAAAAAAUCUAGCCUCAUCGAAAGCAGUUGAUUAUAGGUGUGUGUGUGUGUGUGUGUGUGUUUAAUAUAAUAUAUUUUUAUUGCACUGACAAAUCCAGUUCUAGGUCAUUCCGGUGCAAAUGGAUAUAGUUGGAUAAGAUGUUGAAUUUAUUAGCCGUAGCAUUCAUUUGUCUGCAGGGACAAUAUACCAACCCUUGAAAUUGGUCAGGAUUUAAAUUUCUAAAGCCAAGGUUUCCAUUUUAAUGUAUCGAGCGGCACUGCAAUAUGAUGUAACAUGCCCCUCACUCUUGGGUAUGACACUUGUAGAAUACAUGGGAGCAAAGCUCUUUUACCGCUUCCAUUAAAAAUAGGUUCUCCUUAUCCCCUCGGAGUGGGUGUCUGAGAUUCUCUCUAUCUUGUACCACUGGACUCGCUGUAUACCGAGAUUUCCUCCCGGUAGAGGUCUAGGUAUGAUGGUGAUGCUGUGUUGCCCUCCCAUCCUCUGAUGUCAUUCUGAGCCCUCCCACUAGGGGCUAAUUUGGGAACAAUGCGGCUUUAAAGGAACCUAUUAAGUGAAUGUUGCUUUUUCUCAUUUAACAUCACAAUAUUCUUUGCUAAUAGUAAUUCGCUGGCAAUAUGCUUUACUGGGUUAUUCAGAGGUGCUGGCUUUUAAUUCUUAGCCCUUUCAAGUCUGUUCCGUAAAUAGUAAAUUGUGGCAAAAACCUUCAGCUUUUGCAAUGAAAUGCAUUUUAUUUAUAACUCCGGAGUGAUGU